AUGUUCUACUUCCUUAUUCACCCAUUAUUAGAGUCUCAUUCUGUAUCUUCUCUCACACUCGCUGUUAUGGAGUUGUUCAUCUUCAUAGUUUUUCAGCUCCUGAUGGAGGUUCAGUCUCACCGAUUUCCUAGAGUAAAAGUAUCUCCAGAUGUCAUAAGAGAGUCCAGCUCAGUGAAGAUCAGCUGUGAGACAGAACCACGUGUUAUAGUGAAUACAUGUUAUUUCUACAUAAACAGAGGGGAGAAGAAAAUGAAAACCAGUUCAUCAUGUGAGCUCGAGCUCACUGGUGCUGAAGUGUUCAGAUGGGCAGCUGUAAAAUCACCUGAAUCACUCAACAUUAUCUGUUACUACACAAUGAUAAAUGUGCAAGGCUCAUCCAUAACAUCAUCUGAUUCUGAUCCUGCCACAGUAACGGUUCUAGGUGAGAUAUUUCACUGCUGUUCUUCUGUAUUAGAAACUUUAAUUCCAGUGUUUUUACUGAUCAUGGAUUAUUUUACGUCAUACAGAUUCACUUGAUAAACUCAUCAUCAGUUAGUAAUGAUGAUGUUACACCUAUAGGGCACUUCUGGAUGGAUUGGAUAUGAUUUGUAAAAACCCUUUCAAUACACUUUAAUAGUAUUACUACCUUAAGGGUACAUAUUACUACUCUAAGGUACUAAUAUGCAUAUAAUAUACUUUGGGGUGAAGAAGGUACAAAAGGUAUCCCUUUAAGAUACUGUCCCAGUGACAAGUUGUUGUACCCCUAAAGAUUCAUCAUUAAAUUAAUCAAAUCAGUUGUUAAUACUAAUGUUUUUGUUGUUGUUGUCCAUCCAAAUCACACAUUACUAAAGGACCAACAAUAUUUUUUUAUUAUUAUUUGAGGAUCUGUAUCUCCAACAAGCAAGCUUUGCUUUAAAGAUUGAUAAUAAUGUAAAAUGUCUCUCUAUAAUGCUGAUAAAUUGUCUCUGCAGUUUCAACAUCAACCACCACUGAAGAAACUACUACAACAGCCAUGAAAACCCGUGAGUAAUUGAGUUUGUAAAUCAGUUAUUCUUACUCCAUUCUGAAUGUCCUGAAAACGACAAUCAUUCUUUUAAGCUCAUGAGUAUUUGUCGAUCAUUUACUAUACAUACGGUACAUCACCACACAUUUCACAAUGUUUUUUCAUCAGCAUUAACUGUAAUGUCCACUUCUGAGACUACAAUAUACAGUAAAACUGGUAAGUUGCUAAUAAUAGCUUUUCUGGUUAUUUUAGAUUAAAUCUGAUAAAUUAUUUCCUUCUAAAACCUGAUGGCCCUUGCAAUGUUAUUUUUAUAUUAGCAGACCCUUAAACCAAGAUAAACCCGCCAAUCAGUACAGCAAAGGAAAAAAGAAAAGUUCAUCCACUCUUUCUCAAUGGUAAAAGUCACUAUGCAGAAAUAAUGUUUUGGAAUAAAAAAGUUCCAAUAUAGCUGGGAAUUAUUGGUACAUCAGUAACUCAUAGUGGUUGAUCCUGAAUAUAAACAGUAAACACAGAGAAUUCAACAAAGUCAAGUCUCAUGAUUAUGCUGCUUAACAGUAGAAUGUCAGAAAAUAGUGAAGGCCAGAAUGCACUACAUGACUUUUGCCCAGAUUAUUGCCC
rnacentral:lncRNA from 1 species